AAGUCGUAACAAGGUUUCCGUAGGUGAACCUGCGGAAGGAUCAUUAGUGAUUUAAAUUAAUGGAAUAGAUUCAUUUCUUUUCAUUAAAACUUCUCUACUAUCAAAACCACUGUUUAAAAAUGUUUAAUAGAAUGUUUAUGUGUGUUAAUUAAAUAACCACAACUUUUAUAAAAGAAAGCUUUAAUAAAACUUUCAGCAAUGGAUCUCUUGGUUCAG
rnacentral:misc_RNA from 1 species